GGUUGACCCUACGAAUCAGGUAAGGAAUACCCGCUGAAGACGUUUUAGCUUCCGGGGU
rnacentral:rRNA from 1 species